AUUGAAAUACCUGUUCCUGUACGAUCACCUAAGUUAAGCAACGUCGAGCCUGAUCAGUACCUAGAUGGUUGACGGCUUAGGAAUAACAGGUGCUAUA